rnacentral:rRNA from 1 species
AUUGAACGCUGGCGGCAGGCCUAACACAUGCAAGUCGAGCGGAUGAAGGGAGCUUGCUCCUGGAUUCAGCGGCGGACGGGUGAGUAAUGCCUAGGAAUCUGCCUGGUAGUGGGGGAUAACGUCCGGAAACGGGCGCUAAUACCGCAUACGUCCUGAGGGAGAAAGUGGGGGAUCUUCGGACCUCACGCUAUCAGAUGAGCCUAGGUCGGAUUAGCUAGUUGGUGGGGUAAAGGCCUACCAAGGCGACGAUCCGUAACUGGUCUGAGAGGAUGAUCAGUCACACUGGAACUGAGACACGGUCCAGACUCCUACGGGAGGCAGCAGUGGGGAAUAUUGGACAAUGGGCGAAAGCCUGAUCCAGCCAUGCCGCGUGUGUGAAGAAGGUCUUCGGGUUGUAAAGCACUUUAAGUUGGGAGGAAGGGCAGUAAGCUAAUACCUUGCUGUUUUGACGUUACCAACAGAAUAAGCACCGGCUAACUUCGUG